UCAGAUCCUCUGAAUCUGGAGUUCUGGGUAGCUGUGAGCAUCUAAAUCCAGGCUGCUGCAAGUGUAUUGCAGGAAGUGCUGUUAGCUGUUGAGCUCUCUAGCCUCCAGUUUGUUUUAGACAUUGGGGUGGGAGUGCUUUUUGUUUGCUUGCUUGCUUCCCCCCCCCCCCGGGUUUUUGUGUUAUGGAUGUUGGCGGGGGAGUUUUGGGGGUUUUGUUUGGUUGGGUUUUUUUCGUUUGCAGGUUUGUUUUUGAGACAGAUUCUUGCUAUGUAGCUCAAACUGGCCUUGACUUGAGCAUCCUCCUGCCUUAGCCUCCCAGAGGUUGGGACUAUUAUAGACACAAUCUUAUUCGUGUAUAUUAACUUUAUAAAAC
rnacentral:lncRNA from 1 species